rnacentral:rRNA from 1 species
UACGUAGGGGGCGAGCGUUGUCCGGAUUUAUUGGGCGUAAAGAGCGUGUAGGCGGUUCGGUAAGUCUGCCGUGAAAACCUGAGGCUCAACCUCGGGCGUGCGGUGGAUACUGCCGGGCUAGAGGACGGUAGAGGCGAGUGGAAUUCCUGGUGUAGCGGUGAAAUGCGCAGAUAUCAGGAAGAACACCCGUGGCGAAGGCGGCUCUCUGGAACGCAACUGACGCUGAGACGCGAAAGCGUGGGGAGCAAACAGG